CAUGUACUCCCUCCGCCCAAAAAAACUUGUCCCAAGCUUAUCCCUCAAAUGAAUGUAUCUAGCACUAACUUGGUGCUAGAUACAUCCAUUUGAGGGACAACCUUUUUCGGACGGAGGGAGUAGCAG
rnacentral:pre_miRNA from 1 species